CACGCUACGCGGCUAUACAUGCAAGUCGAACGGUGUCUUCGGACAUAGUGGCGCACGGGUGCGUAACACGUAUGCAACCUACCUUACAUUGGGGGAUAGCCUUUCGAAAGGGAGAUUAAUACCGCAUAAGACAGUAGCUGGGCAUCCAGCAGCUGUUAAAGAUUUAUCGAUGUAAGCUGGGCAUGCGUCCAAUUAGCUAGUUGGUGAGGUAAUGGCUCACCAAGGCAAUGAUUGGUAGGGGAACUGAGAGGUCAAUCCCCCACACUGGCACUGAGAUACGGGCCAGACUCCUACGGGAGGCAGCAGUAGGGAAUAUUGGGCAAUGGACGCAAGUCUCGACCCAGCCAUGCCGCGUGCAGGAUGAAGGCGUUAUGCGUUGUAAACUGCUUUUAUACAGGAAGAAACGACUCUUGCGAGAGGCAUUGACGGUACUGUAUGAAUAAGCACCGGCUAACUCCGUGCCAGCAGCCGCGGUAAUACGGAGGGUGCAAGCGUUGUCCGGAUUUAUUGGGUUUAAAGGGUG
rnacentral:rRNA from 1 species